UAGGGAAGUCCUCUUUUCUGUGAAUUGGUUGUCGUAAACUUAAUUCUACAGAAGGGACUUCCUUUUUUGU
rnacentral:ncRNA from 1 species